rnacentral:lncRNA from 1 species
CGCCAGAGAAAACUUUGUCACUGCAGAUGGGGCUGCUGCUGGUACUCUGAUAGAGCCCAAAUCUUUCUUUUUUAGACAGAAAACUGAAUCCCAAAAGCUAAAGGGGAUUUUGAGCUCCACUGAGGCAAACCCACAUGGAAACCAAAGUCCUCCUCCAUGACAUCCUUGACUGGUGUUUGAGUAGCUUCCACUUGGUCUCCAAUGAGAGGGAAGCCAUGACAUCCUAAAGUGGCCCAUCACAGGACAGCCACUAGUUAGCAGUUCUGAUCUGGCACAUAGUAGAUUCUGUUGGGAGAUUCAGUCUGGAAUGACUGAUGACAAAAAAAAAGUCAUAGAAUCAUAGCACCCUAAAACAUCGAGGGAUGAAGCCCUAAUUUGACUGUGCUAGAAGAGAUUUCAGAGCAUUAACCCUCUCCAAAGAGGAGUUGUUUAAUAAAUGUUUGCUGAAUUAAAUGGAAUUAAAUGUUCAGCCUGCCCAGUCUUGACCUUGCAGGAGCUACUAAAUAGGACUGGAGGUUUGCUCCACUACAACCUGAUAUAAUCUCAUUGUACCUGGGCUGGUCCCUCACUGCUCCAGGCAAGCCAUUUAUU